AUUGAACGCUAGCGGGAUGCUUUACACAUGCAAGUCGAACGGCAGCGCGGACUUCGGUCUGGCGGCGAGUGGCGAACGGGCGAGUAAUGUAUCGGAACGUGCCCAGUAGCGGGGGAUAACUACGCGAAAGCGUAGCUAAUACCGCAUACGCCCUACGGGGGAAAGGGGGGAUCGCAAGACCUCUCACUAUUGGAGCGGCCGAUAUCGGAUUAGUUAGUUGGUGAGGUAAAGGCUCACCAAGGCGAGGAUCCGUAGCUGGUUUGAGAGGACGACCGGCCACACUGGGACUGGGACACGGCCCAGACUCCUACGGGAGGCAGCAGUGGGGAAUCUUUGACAAUGGGGGCAACCCUGAUCCAGCCAUCCCGCGUGUGCGAUGAAGGCCUUCGGGUUGUAAAGCACUUUUGGCAGGGAAGAAAAGUUACGGGCUAAUACCCUGGAGCGAUGACGGUACCUGCAGAAUAAGCACCGGCUAACUACGUGCCAGCCGCCGCCGUAA
rnacentral:rRNA from 1 species